rnacentral:lncRNA from 1 species
ACCUGACACACAUAGAGCAUUUGUGCAGAGACUAAAAGAUUGAUCUGAGAAACCACUUCCUGGGAUGAAAUGAAAGCCAGGCAGAGAAUCCCAUACCCAAAUAUAAUCUAAAGGGGUUAAACUGAGAAAAAGAACACCGGUGAGACAAAGGGAUUUAAACUGGAGGAACAAGGAAAGAAAAAGUGCAUUCCUACUUACCUCAAGGGUUCUGUGCAAUGAAGUAGAAAAAGAACAGAAAGAAUUUCAGAGAGACUCAUCAGCAUCAUCACAGGGAUCCUUGAUGAAGCAGAUGGAAAAUACAGCAUGAACCCUAAUAAAAAUGCUUCCUGUGCCAAUCCUGAGACCACAGUGACUGUGGAACCUGAAUUAACAUAUGUCAUGAGAGGAAAGGAAGCUGAACAAAGAGCACAGUGAAGUGACUUGGCCUGACCUCAUUUCCUUACCUCAUGAGGACUUCGUCUGAAAGGUGAGCCCAGCGCAGCUGUGCAUAGCCAAUCCUUGGGAAACACAGAAAAAGGAAGGAGCCACAUUCCACACAAGCCCAGUGACACUAGACUCUCAGGAAUUUCUUGAGUCAAAUCAACUGUUCCCCCACUUUAAGGAAAAGGUGAUUCGGGAAGACGAGAAGGCUCUCUGAUACUGCCUUUCUCUUUGGGUGACUUCCUUUGGUCAGUCUUCACCCUGAUCCAGCAAUACCUUCCGGACAUGUCAGAUAGGGCUCACUGGCCUUUGAUACAGUUCAAUACUGCUAUUCCAUUUACUAUAAAUUAACAGGAAGAAGGUGAAGGAGUACAAGAGCCCGGCUUAUCUGCAGAAGAUGUGUUCUAAGAUCACCAGUGGAUGCCUGAAACUGCAGAUAGUACUGAAUCCUGUGUACAGUGUUUUUUUUCUAUACUAUAUGCCUAUAAUAAAGUUUAAUUUAUACAUUAGACAUAGUACUCUUGCACUUUGGGGCUAUCAUUAAGUAAGAUAAGG